rnacentral:tRNA from 1 species
CGGGGCGUAGCGAAGCCUGGCAUCGCGCUUGCUUUGGGAGCAAGAGAUCGUGGGUUCAAAUCCCGCCGCCCCGA